rnacentral:rRNA from 1 species
AGUGAACGCUGGCGGUAGGCCUAACACAUGCAAGUCGAACGGCAGCACAGUAAGAGCUUGCUCUUACGGGUGGCGAGUGGCGGACGGGUGAGGAAUACAUCGGAAUCUACUUUUUCGUGGGGGAUAACGUAGGGAAACUUACGCUAAUACCGCAUACGACCUACGGGUGAAAGCAGGGGAUCUUCGGACCUUGCGCGAUUGAAUGAGCCGAUUUCGGAUUAGCUAGUUGGCGGGGUAAAGGCCCACCAAGGCGACGAUCCGUAGCUGGUCUGAGAGGAUGAUCAGCCACACUGGAACUGAGACACGGUCCAGACUCCUACGGGAGGCAGCAGUGGGGAAUAGUGGACAAUGGGCGCAAGCCUGAUCCAGCCAUACCGCGUGGGUGAAGAAGGCCUUCGGGUUGUAAAGCCCUUUUGUUGGGAAAGAAAAGCAGCAGGUUAAUACCCCGCUGUUCUGACGGUACCCAAAGAAUAAGCACCGGCUAACUUCGUG